UCCGCUAUGGUCGAGUGGUCAUGAUUUGCCGCUUUCAUGGUGGUUCCGGCAAGAACGGGGUUCGAUUCCCCACGACUGAG